rnacentral:rRNA from 1 species
GCUUGUCUCAAAGAUUAAGCCAUGCAUGUCUAAGUAUAAAUUAGUUUAUAUUUGAAACUGCGAAUGGCUCAUUAUAUCAGUUAUAGUUUAUUUGAUGGUCCUUACUAUUUGGAUAACCGUAGUAAUUCUAGAGCUAAUACAUGCAUCAAUCCCCGACUUCUGGAAGGGGUGUAUUUAUUAGAUGGAAACCAAUGCGGGGCAACCCGGAAUCUGGUGAAUCAUAAUAACUUUCGGAUCGAUCUUCGGAUCGAUGCAUCAUUCAAGUUUCUGCCCUAUCAGCUUUGGAUGGUAGGGUAUUGGCCUACCAUGGCUUUAACGGGUAACGGAGAAUUAGGGUUCGAUUCCGGAGAGGGAGCCUGAGAAACGGCUACCACAUCCAAGGAAGGCAGCAGG